rnacentral:rRNA from 1 species
GAAUUCGAUUAACGCGAAGAACCUUACCUGGGCUUGACAUGUAGAUCAUACCUGUGGAAACACAGGGUCAGUUCGGCUGGAUCUUCACAGGUGGUGCAUGGCUGUCGUCAGCUCGUGUCGUGAGAUGUUGGGUUAAGUCCCGCAACGAGCGCAACCCCCGUCGCAUGUUGCCAGCAUUUAGUUGGGGACUCAUGCGAGACUGCCGGUGACAAACCGGAGGAAGGUGGGGAUGACGUCAAGUCAUCAUGCCCCUUAUGUCCAGGGCUACACACGUGCUACAUUGGCGCGUACAGAGGGCUGCGAUACCGUGAGGUGGAGCGAAUCCCUCAAAGCGCGUCUCGGUUCGGAUUGCAGGCUGAAACUCGCCUGCAUGAAGGCGGAGUUGCUAGUAAUCGCGGAUCAGCAUUGCCGCGGUGAAUACGUUCCCGGGCCUUGUCACACCGAAUCACUA